GGCCGGGUAGCUCAAUGGGAAGAGCCGGGAUCCUUCAUUCCCGAGACGGCGGUUCGAAUCCGCCCCCGGCCA
rnacentral:tRNA from 1 species